GACGAACGCUGGCGGCGUGCUUAACACAUGCAAGUCGAACGGAAAGGCCCUGCUUUUGUGGGGUGCUCGAGUGGCGAACGGGUGAGUAACACGUGAGUAACCUGCCCUUGACUUUGGGAUAACUUCAGGAAACUGGGGCUAAUACCGGAUAGGAGCUCCUGCUGCAUGGUGGGGGUUGGAAAGUUUCGGCGGUUGGGGAUGGACUCGCGGCUUAUCAGCUUGUUGGUGGGGUAGUGGCUUACCAAGGCUUUGACGGGUAGCCGGCCUGAGAGGGUGACCGGCCACAUUGGGACUGAGAUACGGCCCAGACUCCUACGGGAGGCAGCAGUGGGGAAUAUUGCACAAUGGGCGGAAGCCUGAUGCAGCAACGCCGCGUGCGGGAUGACGGCCUUCGGGUUGUAAACCGCUUUCGCCUGUGACGAAGCGUGAGUGACGGUAAUGGGUAAAGAAGCACCGGCUAACUACGUGCCAGCAGCCGCGGUGAUACGUAGGGUGCGAGCGUUGUCCGGAUUUAUUGGGCGUAAAGGGCUCGUAGGUGGUUGAUCGCGUCGGAAGUGUAAUCUUGGGGCUUAACCCUGAGCGUGCUUUCGAUGCGGGUUGACUUGAGGAAGGUAGGGGAGAAUGGAAUUCCUGGUGGAGCGGUGGAAUGCGCAGAUAUCAGGAGGAACACCAGUGGCGAAGGCGGUUCUCUGGGCCUUUCUUGACGCUGAGGAGCGAAAGCGUGGGGAGCGAACAGGCUUAGAUACCCUGGUAGUCCACGCUGUAAACGGUGGGUACUAGGUGUGGGGUCCAUUCCACGGGUUCCGUGCCGUAGCUAACGCUUUAAGUACCCCGCCUGGGGAGUACGGCCGCAAGGCUAAAACUCAAAGGAAUUGACGGGGCCCCGCACAAGCGGCGGAGCAUGCGGAUUAAUUCGAUGCAACGCGUAGAACCUUACCUGGGUUUGACAUGGAUCGGGAGUGCUCAGAGAUGGGUGUGCCUCUUUUGGGGUCGGUUCACAGGUGGUGCAUGGCUGUCGUCAGCUCGUGUCGUGAGAUGUUGGGUUAAGUCCCGCAACGAGCGCAACCCUUGUUCACUGUUGCCAGCACGUUAUGGUGGGGACUCAGUGGAGACCGCCGGGGUCAACUCGGAGGAAGGUGGGGAUGACGUCAAGUCAUCAUGCCCCUUAUGUCCAGGGCUUCACGCAUGCUACAAUGGCUGGUACAGAGAGUGGCGAGCCUGUGAGGGUGAGCGAAUCUCGGAAAGCCGGUCUCAGUUCGGAUUGGGGUCUGCAACUCGACCUCAUGAAGUCGGAGUCGCUAGUAAUCGCAGAUCAGCAACGCUGCGGUGAAUACGUUCCCGGG
rnacentral:rRNA from 1 species